UUUUUCAUAUUUUAUUGAUUUAAAUCUACUUAUAUUGAACUUUUAAAAAAUGCUACACGUAAAGAAGAAAAGUAACUGCACUACAUUCUACAGACUGGGGUGGACCUCUUUGUUAAUGUCCAGUAUCCUUUGUCUUAGGGUCUGGUGCACUACAU
rfam:Fukomys damarensis contig78266, whole genome shotgun sequence.